ACGAUGAUUACUGGGUGUGGGCAGGAAGACUGUCUGUGCCGAAGCAAAUGCGAUAAGUAAUCCGCCUGGGGAGUACGGCCGCAAGGCUGAAACUCAAAGGAAUUGACGGGGACCCGCACAAGCGUGGAGCAUGUGGUUUAAUUCGACGCAACGCGAGGAGCCUUACCAGAUCUUGACAUCCCGCGAAUGCCCGUGAAGACGGGCAGUGCCUUCGGGAACGCGGAGACAGGUGGUGCAUGGCUGUCGUCAG
rnacentral:rRNA from 1 species